UAUCCCUACGGGGGGCAGCAGUGAGAAAUAUUGGUCAAUGGGCGGAAGCCUGAACCAGCCAAGUCGCGUGAGGGAAGAAGUCCCUGCGGGUCGCAGACCUCUCUGGACGGGGAGCAAGGCCGCCGACGUGUCGGCGGAAGGACAGUACCCGUAGAACAAGCAUCGGCUAACUCCGUGCCAGCAGCCGCGGUAAUACGGAGGAUGCGAGCGUUAUCCGGAUUUAUUGGGCUUAAAGGGUGCGCAGGCGGCACGGCAAGCC
rnacentral:rRNA from 1 species